rnacentral:rRNA from 1 species
GACGAACGCUGGCGGCGUGCUUAACACAUGCAAGUCGAACGCUGAAGCUUGGUGCUUGCACUGGGUGGAUGAGUGGCGAACGGGUGAGUAAUACGUGAGUAACCUGCCCUUGACUCUGGGAUACGCCUGGGAAACUGGGUCUAAUACUGGAUACGACAUGUCACCGCAUGGUUGUGUGUGGUAAGGGUUUUACUGGUUUUGGAUGGGCUCACGGCCUAUCAGCUUGUUGGUGGGGUAAUGGCUCACCAAGGCGACGACGGGUAGCCGGCCUGAGAGGGUGACCGGCCACACUGGGACUGAGACACGGCCCAGACUCCUACGGGAGGCAGCAGUGGGGAAUAUUGCACAAUGGGCGGAAGCCUGAUGCAGCGACGCCGCGUGAGGGAUGACGGCCUUCGGGUUGUAAACCUCUUUCAGCACGGAAGAAGCGAAAGUGACGGUACGUGCAGAAGAAGCGCCGGCUAACUACGUG